GAUGAACGCUGGCGGCGUGCUUAACACAUGCAAGUCGAACGGAAAGGCCCUGCUUUUGUGGGGUGCUCGAGUGGCGAACGGGUGAGUAACACGUGAGUAAACUGCCCUUGACUUUGGGAUAACUUCAGGAAACUGGGGCUAAUAUCGGAUAGGAGCUCCUGCUGCAUGGGGGGGGUUGGAAAGUUUCGGCGGUUGGGGAUGGACUCGCGGCUUCUCAGCUUGUUGGUGGGGUAGUGGCUUACCAAGGGUUUGACGGGUAGCCGGCCUGAGAGGGUAACCGGCGACAUUGGGCCUGAGAGACGGACCAGACUCCUACGGGACGCAACAGUGGGAAAUAUUGCACAGUGGGCGGAAGCCUGAUGCAACGACGCCGCGUGCGUAAUGACGUCCUUCGAGUUAUGAACCGCUUUCGCCUGUGACGAAGCGUGAGUGACGGUAAUGGAUAAAAAAGCACCGGCUAACUACGUG
rnacentral:rRNA from 1 species